AUUGAACGCUGGCGGCAUGCCUUACACAUGCAAGUCGAACGGUAACAGGGAGCUUGCUCCGCUGACGAGUGGCGAACGGGUGAGUAAUAUAUCGGAACGUACCUUUGAGUGGGGGAUAACUAGUCGAAAGACUAGCUAAUACCGCAUACGAUCUACGGAUGAAAGUGGGGGCUCGCAAGACCUCAUGCUCAUAGAGCGGCCGAUAUCUGAUUAGCUAGUUGGUGAGGUAAAGGCUCACCAAGGCAUCGAUCAGUAGCUGGUCUGAGAGGACGACCAGCCACACUGGGACUGAGACACGGCCCAGACUCCUACGGGAGGCAGCAGUGGGGAAUUUUGGACAAUGGGGGCAACCCUGAUCCAGCAAUGCCGCGUGAGUGAAGAAGGCCUUCGGGUUGUAAAGCUCUUUUGUCAGGGAAGAAACGGGGAUUCCUAAUACGAGUCCCUAAUGACGGUACCUGAAGAAUAAGCACCGGCUAACUAC
rnacentral:rRNA from 1 species